GACAUAAACAGCAAAACCCAGGAGACAGUUACCAUGAGAACAGUACACAGAAACCCGCCGAAGCCUUGCUUGUUUUCUAAUUUCUGAUUUUCCCGAUAUUUUUCUCUCGUUGCAAAAGUUAAGGAGUUUCUUCACCGUACAGCAGAUCACCGGUGAACUGGACCCUAUCCCAGCUGACCUGGGGCGAGAGACUGGGUACACCCUGGACCAGUCGCCAACCAAUAGCCGAUAUUGCUAAAUUAUAAUCAGUUUGAAAUAUCUGUGGCUACAUGCCAUCGUCACAAUCCACAAAAGUUGCUGAGAUUUCCUCAGACAGUCUCCUAUCGGAACAGAACAGUGUCACCAAAUUCAGCAAAGCAGAUGUGAGGAGGAGAAGGGUGAGGAAGGAGCCAUUCAACUUACCAGAUGGGAAAAGCAUUCUUCUCCAAAGUUCGGUUGAAAAAGAUGACCGACAAAAGGAGAUGCACAACUUCCUGCCUCUCCCACUUCACGAGAAGAAAAAUUACUCUGCUCGAAUGAUGGCUGAGCAGAAGAAAGAGCUUUUCGGGCAUCUGAAGGAGGAGGACGAAGAGGAGCCGGAAAAAGACAAAGUGAAGACGCUGAGGCAAGCCAAGAGGAAGCCAACACUCCCAAAACAAACACCCGCAAGACAUCAGCUGAAGACUAAUUUGUUGAAACAAACAAACAUAGUGAGAGAAUGUAAACAUGACUUAAUCUCCAUGGAGCGGCAGAAGGCAGUGUUGGAGAUAUCGCUGAUGACAAAAAGAUCGGAGAUUUGCAAGAUGAACAAAGCUAUCACCAAAGAGGAGAGACGCCUGAGGGAGUUGGAGGAGGUCAUUGAGAAGGACAAUCAGAGCUUUGCGGCGUUCCUGAGGGAGAAUGAGAAGAAGUCUUUGGAGGCCCAAACAUUUUUUGAACGAGAGGUUAAGUCCAAAGAGGAGAAAACGGCUGAGAUCCAGAAGUUGACUUCUGAAAUAGCAACGAUAAGAAGUGAAGUUGGCAACUAUGAAGAAAUCCUCCAAGAGUACAAGAGAUACAGGGAGCUUCUCUUUCAGCUGUCUCCUCCAGAGUGGCAAGAGGCCCAGAGGGCAAAGCUUCUCACCAAUGUCCAUCUGGAUAAGAACCCUGACGAGGACUCAACUUUCAAGCAAAAACAGGAAAGCAACAUUGCAGGUGCCCAGCCCAAACAGUUCUCUGCAGAGAGCGCCAGGACUACAAAAGAGUAUGAAGCAGAUAGCGACUGUACAGAAAUUGAGGAUAAUCCGGAGUUGUACUUCACUGAUCCCAAGCAACUUAUUGAGCUGAUGACAGAGCUAACUGAGCAGAAUUUAUCCUUGAUCAAGAACUCUACGAGGGCCGAGGAGACACUGGAGGAGCUCACACAGUCUAUGGAGGAAGUCAGGAAUAGGACUGAAAAGGAGAAGGAGCUUCUGACCCAGCAAAUAGACGAGAUGAACAAGCAAAUUGAGGAAGAGAAAACAAGAGCAUCAAAGCUGAAAAAGAAGGUUCAGCUCCAUGUCUUGCUGAACACAGAAGAUGAGGAUGACAUGAUGAGGGCGCUUGGGGAGAAGGUCUCAGAAGUGUACAGGUGCUGUGUGGGUGAUGGGUCGAGCAGCCAUAGUACCUUGGAGAAGCUGGCCAGCAUUGAGAAGCAGAUGUCUUUACUGCUGCACUGUCUUGAGGACAUCCCCAAGGCAAGUUUGGAAACGAUGCAAAAGAUCAAAGACAGCGAGAGGAGGACCAGGUAUGUCUUUUGCAACGUGAAGAAAAGUUGAGAUUGCAAAGAGAGAAACAAAUAGAAAGGAUGAAGAGGUACUUGGAGAGGUCCCUUUCUGACACCAAGAAAACAAAUGGACGUAAACUAAUGCCCAGAUGCAUCCCUACUGCUCAGAAGGUCACAGUCCAAAAAGUGCAAGGUGCUCCAACUGAUGAUGGCUUGAAUGACUACUUCUUCACACCUUCAGAUGGUAUUGACUGAAGAACAAAACAGAAACUGUGCAAUGCCUGAUUUGACUGGAAAAAAAUACUGAGCAUUAGUAAAAAUACAUGCAGCUUAAUCUUGCAGCACACUAUCCGAGUCUCAUUGUUGUGUGUGUGUGGGUGUGUGUGUGUGUGUGUGUGUGUGUGUGUGUGUGUGUGUGUGUGUGUGUGUGUGUG